AUCGGCAAGUUGUCCUUGGCUA
rnacentral:siRNA from 1 species